rnacentral:rRNA from 1 species
CAGUCGGCGGGGCGCAGCCUGACCGCAAUGCCGCGUGCAGGAUGAAGGCCUUCGGGUUGUAAACUGCUUUUGUACGGAACGAAACGGCGAACUCUAAUACAGUUUGCUAAUGACGGUACCGUAAGAAUAAGCACCGGCUGACGAGGGUGCCAGCAGCCGCGGUAAUACGUAGGGUGCAAGCGUUAAUCGGAAUUACUGGGCGUAAAGCGUGCGCAGGCGGUUAUGUAAGACAGAUGUGAAAUCCCCGGGCUUAACCUGGGAACUGCAUUUGUGACUGCAUAGCUAGAGUACGGUAGAGGGGGAUGGAAUUCCGCGUGUAGCAGUGAAAUGCGGGGGAUAUGCGGAGGAACACCGAUGGCGAAGGCAAUCCCCUGGACCUGUACUGACGCUCAUGCACGAAAG